rnacentral:rRNA from 1 species
AUGUGGACGGAUGAAGUUCAAGUCCAAGUGCAUUAUGUUGAUUUUCAUGUGAUCCUUUCCUCCGUAGGUAAUACAACCUCUAAUGUAUGUUUUGCACUUGUUUGUAUAUAUGGUGAUCUAUAUCAUCAUCAGACUAGUCAGAUAUGGGAUCGUGUUACCUCUUUUCUGUAUGUUAAUGAAAGCAAUCCUACCAUGUGUUUGGGAGAUCUUAAUGAUCUUCUCAAUGAUGUUGAUCAAAGUUCUCCCAUUGUGAAUACUUAUCGUAUGGAUGAUUUCCGUUCUAUUGUAAAGCAAUGUUUUUUUUACCUAGGUUAUAGGGGCCCGACCUACACUUGGUCUAAUAAGCCAUAUACCUCUAAGCCUACCAUGGAAAGAAUUGACGUAUGCUUGGAUAAUGCUAAUUGGUGUGUUGUUUUUCCUAACUCUAAUGUUUUCAAUGUGCCUAUCAUUUACAGUCAUCAUGCACCUAUGUGA